CACAUUAAUUCGUCAAAUGUAAAAAGCCCAUUAACACCCAGUUGAAAACCCAACAAAAAGACAGACCCUAUCGCCCAAGUUACAGAGAAAGGGAAAGCAAAGAAUGUACAACAAAUUUUAAUUUUUUUUUUUUUUUUGGAGAGAAUAUACAACAAAUUUUUGAUAGACUGAAAAGAGAGUUGGGGGGCAGAGCAAGACUGCAACUGCAAGAGCUAAAGCUGGAGACGGCAAAGUUGAAGUUGGAUUGCAGAUGGAGGAGAACGAAGGCGGCGGUGGUGGGACUGGGACUGAGACCUACAGCCACAUCUAGUGGGCCCAGUUGGGGUGGGCCAUAUCUUCCUUCAAAAGAGGCCACGCCGACGACUCUCCGUCGCCUCCCUCUUCGUUGGCGCCAUCGCCACCGCCGCCGUUUCCGUCCUCCACGUCUCCGGCAUCCACAAGCUUGGAUCAGCAUGGGUAUGGAGGACAAGGUGUUUCAGAAAUUAAAUAAAAAUGGUUGUUUUAGUGCUCAUUUGUAUUAUGAAGUAUUAUUAUGAAGCAUUAUAAAGGAACUAAUACGUUUUGGGAAUGUACCAGUGCUCAGAAAUGUUAAUUAGAAUCAGGGUUGUUGAAAAAGCUCUCGUUGGGCCGGCAUAUGCUGUUCAUUGAAGUGGUGAGAAAGUUGUUGCAAACACUUGACACACUGAAUCUGAAGCCAUUUUUCAUGGCUAUAUGGAUGUAAUAGAAAUGCUCAAUGGAGAGGAGAGAAGAAUCAACAGGCACAAGCUCCGUUCCAUUGAAAUGGAACCCACCACAUCUCAUCAUUUUAAGAUGAACAGGGCACUGGCCAACAGAGUGAGCUUUGGUAUUGUUAUUAGAGACAGCAAUGGAGCAGUUAUGGUGGCUUGCAGAGACCAGCUUCCUCUCAGGGUGAUCAACUGCAGAUGGCAACCAACUUAUCACUGAAAGCCAUGAACUUCAGUUAAGAUAUUGGAAUUGUGGACCUGGUUAAUGGUUACCGAGUUUGCAAAUAGCUCCUUGCACUGCUCAACUCAAAGGAACCUUGCCUAUUGGAGAUUUCGGAUUUGCUGGAACCUAUUUGAUCUUUUUGUUGCAUUGAUCAAUACUUUAACAUGGUUGAAUUCAAUUGGGGAAUCUAAUAGAUUAAUUUAAUUUUGCCAGAGAUUAAGGGCUCCUAUGAGGGUGAUUUUAUAUAUGUGGACUUCUUUUGGAAAGUUAUGAUAGAAAAUUUUAUGAAGUGAGUAUGUUGAUCCAUCA